UACAGAGGUCUCAAGCGUUGUUCGGAGUUACUGGGCGUAAAGAGUGCGUAGGCGGUUUUCUAAGUUUGGUGUGAAAUCUCCCGGCUUAACUGGGAGGGUGCGCCGAAGACUGGAAGGCUUGAGUAUGGGAGAGGUAAGCGGAAUUCCUGGUGUAGCGGUGAAAUGCGUAGAUAUCAGGAGGAACACCUGCGGUGUAGACGGCUUACUGGACCAUAACUGACGCUGAGGCACGAAAGCGUGGGGAGCAAACGGG
rnacentral:rRNA from 1 species